AUGACUGUCCUGCCCACAGGGUAUCAUCGGAAUACCAAAAUAAAUGGAUUUGUCAUUUCCUAUCUUGGAGUAAGUAAGCUUCCUUGCAUCAAUUAUGCAUUACCAUUCCUGUUAAAAAAUAUGGAACUUGCAAAUGUUCUACAUAAGAAGCACCUCAUCUCGUAUGCACACACACAUACACACACACACACACAUAGGAUCUCAAACAGCAUAAGUAUGUGUAACCACAUAAGAAGCAUCUCAUCUCGUAUGCACACACACAUGAUCUCAAACAGUAUAAGUAUGUGUAACCACAUAAGAAGCAUCUCAUCUCGUAUGCACACACACACACACACACAUAUACAUACGUAUAGGAUCUCAAACAGCAUAAGUAUGUAUAACCACAUAAGAAGCACCUUAUCUCGUAUGCACACACACACACAUACACAAACACACACACACACACACACACACACACACACACACACACACACAGGAUGUGUACUGGCAUUAGAUCUUGUGUUGUUUGUCUCCCUCUCUCUUCUCUCAGGAUCUUUGUGCCUCUCAUCUGCCUGUCGGUGGUGGUCCUGUGCUGCAACACCUCGUGUCGGGCCAUUCAGCGAGCCCGCGAGGAGCGCAGAGCGCAGAACGCCCGGGAGGCCGACAGACCCUCCAUCUUCAUCAUCCCGUUUCCUCCGUCCCGCCCGUCGGACGACGACCUCUACAGGCCGCCUCGCUACAGCGAGACGAGGAGCUACAGCCCACCACCACCGCCUUAUGAUGAGGUGGAAAUGAAGCCGGAAUUCUUCAUGUCACCAGAUGCCCCCCCUCCACCCUACGCCCCCCCUUUCCCUAGACCUUCAUCCCCCUCAGUCACAGGCUCUUAAAACAGAACCUUCAGUGUUGAGAUAUCCAGGGAGGUGCACAGACCAGAAAACGGGGAGAGAUCCUGGCCACGUGUUGCCCAGGCAUGAAGACCCAAAGCUUAAAGACUUUAUGCUCGGGCAUUCAGACUUAAAACUUGCACAUAGUUGAAAUCGUUCCAUAUGUUCAGAGACUGGUGAAGGAAAAAGAGCUGACUCAUCUUGGACUCGGAAAUGUGGACUUUGGGAAUAUGAGCAUUUCGGAAGAGAGGCCGAUCACUCAAUGACUGGGAGAAGCCUGUUCAGUAUUCACAAAAUUUUAGAACAACACCUGUCGGAGGUAUGCCUCUAUGUAUUGCAAAUGAGCAUAGUUUAGGAUGUAGCUUGUCUGCCACGUAUCAUAUUAAGAAUGUUUUUGAGAAUUUGUAAAUUAUGUAAAUAAAAUUCACACAAUAUAUUGGUUGUUUUGAUUU
rnacentral:lncRNA from 1 species